GCUCCUCUGGAUUGUGACAUUCUUUCAGCCUUUCCUUGUUGUUGUUGAACUGGAACACUUUGAGAAGGAGAGUAUUUUGUAAAAUUUCCCUCAGUUGGGACAUGUCUGUCGUUUAUCUCAUGAUUGAACUGUUUUUGUGGAUUAUAUACAGAGAUAUGCUGCCAUUUUUAUUAUAUCAUAUAAAGGAUAGAUACUAUCACAUGAUUUAUCACUCUUGGUAUCGAUCUGAUCAUCUUGCUAAGGUUUUUCAUAAUAUAUUUGUAGAAGGAAGUUACUACGUGUAUUGCACACAUAAGAGUGGGAAGCUAUGCUCAUGAACUUGACGGUGGAAUGUCUGCACAAAUUCUUUGAAAUUCUUCUACAUGGGAGAUUUCUCUUCCCUCCAGACUGUUGUGCCCAAGAUUGCGAAUCUGAGAAACCACCGAGAAGCUGACA